CAGAAGGGCCUCUGGAAGCGGUCUUGUCCAGAAUGGCCUCUUCUUGGGAGCGGCCUUGUCUGGGGAGCAACCUCAUCGAGCAGCGGCCUCGUCCUGGGAGUGGCCUUGUCCAGAGUGGCCUCUUCUUGGGAGCGGCUCCGAUCAUGGAGCGGCCUCAUCUGCGGAGCAGCCUCAUCUAGAGCAGCCUUGUCCUGAGCGGCCUUCUUGGGAGUGACCUUGUCGGGAUCAUUGUUGUCGCCUUUUCGUAAGAGAUGGC